rnacentral:lncRNA from 1 species
CUCGGCGGCGGGCGGCAGCUAGCGGGAGCCGGGACGCCGGUGCAGCCGCAGCGCGCGGAGGAACCCGGGUGUGCCGGGAGCUGGGCGGCCACGUCCGGACGGGACCGAGACCCCUCGUAGCGCAUUGCGGCGACCUCGCCUUCCCCGGCCGCGAGCGCGCCGCUGCUUGAAAAGCCGCGGAACCCAAGGACUUUUCUCCGGUCCGAGCUCGGGGCGCCCCGCAGGGCGCACGGUACCCGUGCUGCAGUCGGGCACGCCGCGGCGCCGGGGCCUCCGCAGGGCGAUGGAGCCCGGUCUGCAAGGAAAGUGAGGCGCCGCCGCUGCGUUCUGGAGGAGGGGGGCACAAGGUCUGGAGACCCCGGGUGGCGGACGGGAGCCCUCCCCCCGCCCCGCCUCCGGGGCACCAGCUCCGGCUCCAUUGUUCCCGCCCGGGCUGGAGGCGCCGAGCACCGAGCGCCGCCGGGAGUCGAGCGCCGGCCGCGGAGCUCUUGCGACCCCGCCAGGACCCGAACAGAGCCCGGGGGCGGCGGGCCGGAGCCGGGGACGCGGGCACACGCCCGCUCGCACAAGCCACGGCGGACUCUCCCGAGGCGGAACCUCCACGCCGAGCGAGGGUCAGUUUGAAAAGGAGGAUCGAGCUCACUGUGGAGUAUCCAUGGAGAUGUGGAGCCUUGUCACCAACCUCUAACUGCAGAACUGGGAUGUGGAGCUGGAAGUGCCUCCUCUUCUGGGCUGUGCUGGUCACAGCCACACUCUGCACCGCUAGGCCGUCCCCGACCUUGCCUGAACAAGCCCAGCCCUGGGGAGCCCCUGUGGAAGUGGAGUCCUUCCUGGUCCACCCCGGUGACCUGCUGCAGCUUCGCUGUCGGCUGCGGGACGAUGUGCAGAGCAUCAACUGGCUGCGGGACGGGGUGCAGCUGGCGGAAAGCAACCGCACCCGCAUCACAGGGGAGGAGGUGGAGGUGCAGGACUCCGUGCCCGCAGACUCCGGCCUCUAUGCUUGCGUAACCAGCAGCCCCUCGGGCAGUGACACCACCUACUUCUCCGUCAAUGUUUCAGAUGCUCUCCCCUCCUCGGAGGAUGAUGAUGAUGAUGAUGACUCCUCUUCAGAGGAGAAAGAAACAGAUAACACCAAACCAAACCCCGUAGCUCCAUAUUGGACAUCCCC